rnacentral:rRNA from 1 species
CCCAGACAGCCAGGAUGUUGGCUUAGAAGCAGCCAUCAUUUAAAGAAAGCGUAAUAGCUCACUGGUCGAGUCGGCCUGCGCGGAAGAUGUAACGGGGCUAAACCAUGCACCGAAGCUGCGGCAGCGACGCUGAUGCGUUGUUGGGUAGGGGAGCGUUCUGUAAGCCUGUGAAGGUGGGUCGUGAGGCAUGCUGGAGGUAUCAGAAGUGCGAAUGCUGACAUAAGUAACGAUAAAGCGGGUGAAAAGCCCGCUCGCCGGAAGACCAAGGGUUCCUGUCCAACGUUAAUCGGGGCAGGGUGAGUCGACCCCUAAGGCGAGGCCGAAAGGCGUAGUCGAUGGGAAACGGGUUAAUAUUCCCGUACUUGGUGUUACUGCGAAGGGGGGACGGAGAAGGCUAUGUUGGCCGGGCGACGGUUGUCCCGGUUUAAGCGUGUAGGUGUGUGUUCCAGGUAAAUCCGGUUCACUUUAACACUGAGGCGUGAUGACGAGGCACUACGGUGCUGAAGCAACAAAUGCCCUGCUUCCAGGAAAAGCCUCUAAGCAUCAGGUAACAUCAAAUCGUACCCCAAACCGACACAGGUGGUCAGGUAGAGAAUACCAAGGCGCUUGAGAGAACUCGGGUGAAGGAACUAGGCAAAAUGGUGCCGUAACUUCGGGAGAAGGCACGCUGACACGUAGGUGAAGUGAUUUACUCA